rnacentral:rRNA from 1 species
GAUGAACGCUGGCGGCGUGCCUAAUACAUGCAAGUCGAGCGAACGGACGAGAAGCUUGCUUUUCUGAUGUUAGCGGCGGACGGGUGAGUAACACGUGGAUAACCUACCUAUAAGACUGGGAUAACUUCGGGAAACCGGAGCUAAUACCGGAUAAUAUUUUGAACCGCAUGGUUCAAAAGUGAAAGACGGUCUUGCUGUCACUUAUAGAUGGAUCCGCGCUGCAUUAGCUAGUUGGUAAGGUAACGGCUUACCAAGGCAACGAUGCAUAGCCGACCUGAGAGGGUGGUCGGCCACACUGGAACUGAGACACGGUCCAGACUCCUACGGGAGGCAGCAGUAGGGAAUCUUCCGCAAUGGGCGAAAGCCUGACGGAGCAACGCCGCGUGAGUGAUGAAGGUCUUCGGAUCGUAAAACUCUGUUAUUAGGGAAGAACAUAUGUGUAAGUAACUGUGCACAUCUUGACGGUACCUAAUCAGAAAGCCACGGCUAACUACGUGCCAGCAGCCGCGGUAAUACGUAGGUGGCAAGCGUUAUCCGGAAUUAUUGGGCGUAAAGCGCGCGUAGGCGGUUUUUUAAGUCUGAUGUGAAAGCCCACGGCUCAACCGUGGAGGGUCAUUGGAAACUGGAAAACUUGAGUGCAGAAGAGGAAAGUGGAAUUCCAUGUGUAGCGGUGAAAUGCGCAGAGAUGUGGAGGAACACCAGUGGCGAAGGCGACUUUCUGGUCUGUAACUGACGCUGGUGUGCGAAAGCGUGGGGAUCAAACAGGAUUAGAUACCCUGGUAGUCCACGCCGUAAACGAUGAGUGCUAAGUGUUAGGGGGUUUCCGCCCCUUAGUGCUGCAGCUAACGCAUUAAGCACUCCGCCUGGGGAGUACGACCGCAAGGUUGAAACUCAAAGGAAUUGACGGGGGCCCGCACAAGCGGUGGAGCAUGUGGUUUAAUUCGAAGCAACGCGAAGAACCUUACCAAAUCUUGACAUCCUUUGACAACUCUAGAGAUAGAGCCUUCCCCUUCGGGGGACAAAGUGACAGGUGGUGCAUGGUUGUCGUCAGCUCGUGUCGUGAGAUGUUGGGUUAAGUCCCGCAACGAGCGCAACCCUUAAGCUUAGUUGCCAUCAUUAAGUUGGGCACUCUAAGUUGACUGCCGGUGACAAACCGGAGGAAGGUGGGGAUGACGUCAAAUCAUCAUGCCCCUUAUGAUUUGGGCUACACACGUGCUACAAUGGACAAUACAAAGGGCAGCGAAACCGCGAGGUCAAGCAAAUCCCAUAAAGUUGUUCUCAGUUCGGAUUGUAGUCUGCAACUCGACUACAUGAAGCUGGAAUCGCUAGUAAUCGUAGAUCAGCAUGCUACGGUGAAUACGUUCCCGGGUCU